CUGCGUGGCUAUGAAUUCUCUGAAAAUUCAAAAUUUAGUGGUUCAAACUUUUCCAAAAUAAAAGUUGACCAUUAGACAAAAUGUAGAACUUGUUGAGUGUAACAAACUUUGUAUUGAUGACUUUUCCAUUUGGGACAAUCUAGGGUUAGGUCAAAGGGUGUGUUCAUCGAGAUAUAUAUUUUUAUAUGAUAAAUAGAUUUUUUAUUUGAUGAAAACAAUACCCUACUACCAUUCCGAGUAAUAAAUAACAAAAAU
rnacentral:lncRNA from 1 species